ensembl:lncRNA
AUGCUGCAGUUCCCUCACCACUGUGGCUCCAGCACAGUGGCUGUGCCUAUGGGGCAGGGGGUGUGGGUGGUGGGGCCACAGCUGUGGCCAGAUGGGAAGUGGGCCCAUCCUGGUGCCAUUCCCAGGCCACACCCUCAGAGGGGUGUGUGUGUGCUGGCCGUCUGCCUUCUCCAAGCCUGGCUGCACAUGGCUCUGACCCCAGAAAUGCGUCCAGCCCCAGAACUGUCAGCCCUGGGAAGAGCUGAGCCCUGGGCAGGAGCUGCGGGGAGCUGGCAACAGUGCAGCCAUGCAGUGCAAGGAGUGCCAUGCUCGGUGCAGGUCUGCUUCCCAGAGGCAGGAGUGCAGCUCUGCUUCCCAGAGGCAGCAGAGCAGCAGCUGAGAAGCGUUUGCAGCAGCCCAGGGCUUUGGCCAGGGAGCCUCCCCAGCUCGCCAGCGUGUUGUGAAAUUGCUGCCGCAGCCUGUGGCCCCCAGGAGGAACUCGUGUGGUUUCAGAAGCCACAAGUGUCAGAGGGGCAUUUGCUGGCCCAGGCCCUCCUGACCCCUGACCAAGGGGGCUGUGGUUCCUGGCCUGCCCACGCUGACCUGGCUCAGGCCUGCCCAGGUCACAGGGCAGCAUCUCCUCACACCAGGACAGGUGUUUGGCUCUGUGCUGUCCCCACUUUGGUCCCCUUUAACACUGCCCCUAGGACAGGUCUGCCAGCAGGUAUGGCUUCAGAUCUGGGCCUGGCUGCUGUGGUUUGGGGGUCCUGGUGCCCCCUGUAUCCCUGUGCCAUGCCCUGGCACUGCUCUGCUGGGGGGCCCAGCCCUGCCCAGGGAGGGAGGGAGCCUGCUGGGGCAGCAGUCAGGAUGUGCUUGGGUGGAAAGAUCUGCAGAGGGGUUGGGGCCCUCCCAAGAACCCAGCCAGGCUGCUCCCCCCACCCUGUUUACAGUGUCAGCACCUCUGUGAGCCAUGCAGAGCUACAGGCCAGACAUGUGUUUUCAUUUAGGCCAGACAAUGACUCGGCCAGCGCUGGGCUGCGCUCCUCUCCAGACAGGACCUGUCCCCAGUGCUGCAGGCAGGCCUGGCUCUGGCCCCUGCACGUGGCCUGGGCAUCGUGCAGCACCUGGCCAGGGCACCCAGGAUGCGUUUGCAGCCCACACUGGGCGCCAGCUGGCCACAGUCCAUGCUGGCCACUCAACUGUCACUGGCACUUGGCAAGCUCUGCUGGCCUCAGUCACCCCCUGGCCUCAGGCACCCUCCCAGCCCAGCCCUGGCAGCUCCACAGCACCUGCUGUGGCCCCAGGGCUGUGCCAGUGGCUGUCCCUGCUGCCUGGUCCCUUCUUGGAGCCACCCCUGGGCCCCUGCCCUGGGCAGCAGCCCCAGGGCCAGCAGGAGUCCUGCUGCUGCUGCUGGAGCCCCUGCAGACCGUGGGCCCCCCAAUCCCCAGGUGCCAUCCAGCACCCGGCACUGUCAGUGCUGCCGCCUCCCACGUGUUCCCUGCAGGCUCAGGCAGGGUUGGGCCAGGUCCAGCUGUCCAGUUCUGCUGUUUCUUCCCCUCCUGGAGGCUGAGCAUCUCUGUUACUCCCUGUACUGCGUGUAUCCAUGGCAGUGCCGUGCAGCAGGCUGGCUCAGGAGCGUGU